rnacentral:rRNA from 1 species
UAGUAAUCGCGGAUCAGCAUGCCGCGGUGAAUACGUUCCCGGGCCUUGUACACACCGCCCGUCACACCAUGGGAGUCGGUAACACCCGAAGCCGAUAGUCUAACGAAAGAGGACGUCGUCGAAGGUGGGAUUGAUGACUGGGGUGAAGUCGUAACAAGGUACC